UAUACUGCAGUUGAGCGCUGAAGGUUGGUACUUGUACCGACUGGAUGAGCAGCGAACGGGUGAGUAACGCGUGGGGAAUCUGCCUUUGAGCGGGGGACAACAUUUGGAAACGAAUGCUAAUACCGCAUAAAAACUUUAAACACAAGUUUUAAGUUUGAAAGAUGCAAUUGCAUCACUCAAAGAUGAUCCCGCGUUGUAUUAGCUAGUUGGUGAGGUAAAGGCUCACCAAGGCGAUGAUACAUAGCCGACCUGAGAGGGUGAUCGGCCACAUUGGGACUGAGACACGGCCCAAACUCCUACGGGAGGCAGCAGUAGGGAAUCUUCGGCAAUGGACGAAAGUCUGACCGAGCAACGCCGCGUGAGUGAAGAAGGUUUUCGGAUCGUAAAACUCUGUUGGUAGAGAAGAACGUUGGUGAGAGUGGAAAGCUCAUCAAGUGACGGUAACUACCCAGAAAGGGACGGCUAACUACGUGCCAGCAGCCGCGGUAAUACGUAGGUCCCGAGCGUUGUCCGGAUUUAUUGGGCGUAAAGCGAGCGCAGGUGGUUUAUUAAGUCUGGUGUGAAAGGCAGUGGCUCAACCAUUGUAUGCAUUGGAAACUGGUAGACUUGAGUGCAGGAGAGGAGAGUGGAAUUCCAUGUGUAGCGGUGAAAUGCGUAGAUAUAUGGAGGAACACCGGUGGCGAAAGCGGCUCUCUGGGCCUGUAACUGACACUGAGGCUCGAAAGCGUGGGGAGCAAACAGGAUAGAUAC
rnacentral:rRNA from 1 species